GGCGUGGAUAAGACAUGCAAGUCGAACGAGGUUAGUUUUGUAGCAAUACAGAACUGGCCUAGUGGCGAACGGGUGCGUAACACGUGACUGACCUGCCCAAAAGUGGGGGAUAGCUCGCCGAAAGGCGAAUUAAUACCGCAUGUGAUCGCAAGACCAAAGCAGCGAUGCGCUUUUGGAUGGAGUCGCGGCCUAUCAGCUUGUUGGUGAGGUAACGGCUCACCAAGGCUUUGACGGGUAGCUGGUCUGAGAGGACGACCAGCCACACUGGAACUGAGACACGGUCCAGACACCUACGGGUGGCAGCAGUCGAGAAUUUUUCUCAAUGGGGGAAACCCUGAAGGAGCGACGCCGCGUGGAGGAUGAAGGCUAUGGGGUUGUAAACUCCUGUCAUCUGGAACAAAACCCGCAAGGGCUG
rnacentral:rRNA from 1 species